rnacentral:sRNA from 1 species
AGGACUCUCCCCCGCCCAGCCGCCCCUACACAAGGACUCGCCGAACACACCUUGAAUCCCGCGCCAGAGUGCAGCCCGGAACUGCAGCUCGCGGCGCGGGCCCAGGACUGAGCAGCUAGGCGCGAGCGAAAACAAACAGCUGGGGCUGCGAGCGCCCCCGCCCCGGCCCCGAGAGCACGCCGGCCCAGUCCCCCACCUGGGGCGCCCGUCUGCCCACCAUGAGGAAGAUCCGCGCCAAUGCCAUCGCCAUCCUGACCGUAGCCUGGAUCCUGGGCACUUUCUACUACUUAUGGCAGGACAACCGAGCCCACGCAGCAUCCUCCGGCGGCCGGGGCGCGCAGAGGGCCGGCAGGAGGUCGGAGCAGCUCCGCGAGGACCGCACCAUCCCGCUCAUUGUGACAGGAACUCCCUCGAAAGGCUUUGAUGAGAAGGCCUACCUGUCGGCCAAGCAGCUGAAGGCUGGAGAGGACCCCUACAGACAGCAUGCCUUCAACCAGCUGGAGAGUGACAAGCUGAGCCCGGACCGGCCCAUCCGGGACACCCGCCAUUACAGCUGCCCAUCUGUGUCCUACUCCUCGGACCUGCCAGCCACCAGCGUCAUCAU